AGAUCCCCCUCUGUUCUUCCAUCCGCCUCCAUUGCAAACCUAUCUUUCCAAGUUUGAUUUAUUUUUUUCGCAGAUCUAGCUGUCUUCUUCUCCGUCGCUGUCACGAAGUUCGUAGAUCAACAGAUCUGGCGUAGAUCUACACGUUGAUCGUGGUUUCUUGCCGAUUCGGUCUCCGAACGAUAGAUCUGGUGUAGAUCUACACGGUGAUUGCGGUUUCUUCCUGAUUUCACCUCCGGUGACGGAUUCUGGUCAUUUUGUGUCUAUUCUGACAGGUUCAACAUCAUUUCUGAUUUCUUUUCUUAUUGGUUCAUGUUGUGACGAAGAUUUUUGGAUUGUUGUAUUGUUCUCUCUUCUUUUCGUGGUGCCAUUUUCAUUUCCACGACGAUUGAGAAAUUACCGUUCCAGUUCGGGCGAAUCCAGGGUUUGAUUCUUGAUAUUGGUAAUUUGCUUGAUUAUUAUUAUGCAACGAAGGCGUUUCGAUCCAUUCGAACAGGUAUGAAUUCAGAGUUGGCGUUGGAUGUCGGUAGGGCCAAUAACUUGUGGAGUCUAUGUUGGAGGUGAAGCGGCUGGUUGCUGUAGAUGUUGAUGAUUUCGGCAGAGAUCUGUUCGUCGAUUCGAUGUAGCAGAGCUAUGGAAAAGCUUCGAUGGAAGCUGUAUCUUGUAUCAUAAAUUAUGAAAGCAUCAGAAAGAGUAGGUCAGAAAGAGUAGAUGAGUGAUUGUGGAUGUAAAAGAUAUCGGGAUUUAGCCUCUUUUAUUGAGGAUGAAUCUUGGUAGUUCUUUGUCAUCCGGCCUUUGCCAUGACGGGUGCGCUUGCAUGGCAGGUCAUUCAUAAUAAAAAAAUAGUAUGUUUUGGUUUUGAGGGGAGAUCGCACGGGGAUUGCCCGGGGUCUUCCCUCACUGGUCUGUUUUCCUCUUGCUCUCUUUCUCUCCGUUCGUUUCUGCAACUUCAACCGACAGAAUCACUUCUCUGGUCAUAGCUUUUGACCUGAUCGAACUCGCGACAUGCAAAGGUACUCGACUUUUACAUUUAAGAUUCGUAAGGAAAAAAAAAAGAACUUUUACAUUUGAGCUUCAAAACAAUCGGUAGAAACAACAAAAAAACGAGGGGUUAGUUCGUAGUUCAUAUAAUUUUACUUAACAUGCGAUUUUGUCAUAAAGAACAGGACUGCGUUUUCUUUCAUUUGGUAUUAGCUUGUUUCUAUUCAUCCUAUGGGUACAAAUAUUUCGAACUUGUUUUGAAUCGAUAGUAAUGGAACCUUUUGGGGAUUUUCGAAUGACAGUUUUUGCAAUAUGAGGAGUUUCAUUUCAAUUCUACCGUCUUUGCGAAGGUAAAGUAAUGUUUACAUAUAACAAUUUAUCCUUUUGCAUUGAAAUUAAGCCUGAUUAAUAUUUUAUUCCAAGUUGUACUAUUAUAUACCUAGAUAUUUACCGAACAGUUAAUCAUUUUGUUCUACCCCGCCACCUAAACACACAAAAGAAAAAACCGACUGAGCAUGAUUGAGUAUCUUAUCAAUUCAUAGUUUCUAUCCCUCCAAUUUCUUCUGUGAUAUUAAAUGGAUUCUCAAAUGACUUUGUAGUCGAGAGACGGGUAUUAUCUUUUCUUAACUUUGUCAACACUUUGAUAUGUAAUAUUUCGAACCAUCAAAGAUUAUAUUAUGUAUUUGGUAAUUUGUAUCUAUUCCAUGUUGCCCCGAUAUCGGGGUUUUGAAUUUGGUACUUGUAUUUGUGCUCCCGGCUAUUUGGUUGUUAGUAGAUUGCGUAGAUGAAGAGGGUAUGCUGUCACUGCUAUCGAUGAUCCAUUCCGUCUGUCUAUAAACUUCAAACUUCCUGGUGAUGGUGAUUGGGUGGGCUGAAGGCACUACAAACAGCAGCUCAGCUCUAAGCAAAGCCUUGAUAUAUUCAGCUGGUAUUUAUUGGAUCUCUUACAGUUGAACUAUAUUGAACUAUAUUCCCAAGUUUUAAGCGAGUUCGGUUGUUUAUUGUAGUGUUAUUUGUUUCCUGCCAAUACUGCCUGUUGUAAAGAUUGAUUCUGUUUUUAUGGGGUUGCGAGAUUUAUUCGUUGUCAUUUCCGUAUAUGCACCAUAGUAGUUAAUUUUAUUUCGAAUUUUAAUUUUCUUAAGUUUGAACAAUUGGUAUAUAAAUAUUUAUUUUUCAUUUCUGUUCGGAAUAGUAUUUGUUCACAGUUACUUUGCUUCUAUUAUUUUUUUCCUUUAACAAUGUUUUUUCUACGUAGUUUUAAAAAUUGAAUUCCUUCAUCUCUAUUAAUUGGAGAAAGUUGAUAAUUCUGUCGCUGAAUAGUAUUACCAGAUAAACUUAAUUCUGUCGCUCAGUAAAUUUCUAAUGGUAAAUUUCGAAUUGUUCAGUUUCCUCUUCGAUUUUAGAACUGUAUUAGCUUGAUCUUGAUAUGUUAAUUGUUUUUAUCAGAGUGAGUUCUUGCUUCAUGGUUGGUCAGACGUCUUGUUCUGAAAAAUUGUUGACCCUUUUUACUCUUUUAGGUAAUAGGUAAUAGGUAAAUAGGUAAAUAGGUAAAUAUGAAAUUGCAAUGCCACUUGUAGGUAUGGAUGGCGACUCCCCAUCCCUUAAAUCCCAGGGGAUUUAAUCCCCCCUCGGGGUCGGGGUCGGGUGUAUGGGUCAGGAAAAAAUCUUCGUUUUUUUAUAAUUAUUUUCAUUAUUAAUUAACUAAAAUUAGUAUUCAUAUGGAAGAAUACUUCUUUAAUAUUUUUUUAUUAAAAAACUUGUUAUAUUAGAAAACUAAAAAAAAAAAAAAGUAACUGAAACAGUAGUACUGAUUCAGUAGUUAAUUAUAAUAUUUUUUCCUAAUUUUAAUUAUUAUUAUUACACAUAUAUGUAUAUAUAUAAUAAUAAUAAUUAAAAAAAUUAAGGUGGGGAUUGGAUUAGGCGGUGGGGUGGGAUCUCCAUUUCCGACUGGAGACCUAAUUUGAAUUCUCAAUUUGAUCCCAUAUUCGGUCAAAUCAGAGAUUUGAAUUCUCAAUUUGAUCCAUAUCAGAGAUUUUUUUGUUCCGAUCGACCCUGCAAGGAAUUUAGCCUUCCCUAUAUCUAAAAUCUAUUUGUAGACAUUCCCGUUUAUAACGAGUCGCCCUUCUUUUCUAUUGACUUGAACACAUUUUUACUUGAUUUUUUUCUUCUUUUUAUCAUGUUUGCUAUUAUCAUACCUUGAUAUUAAAAUGUAUGAAUAAAAUGUUUUUAUUAUUAGUUUUCUAGUGUUAUAUUUAGGGUUGGCAGGUGCUGGUACUUUCCAUCCCCUUUGUCAUGGUUGAGGCUGUGUUGGAGAGUUGGAAAAAAAGAGAGUACAUUCUUGAAUGUCUCAUGGAAUCGGUUGAAGCAAAUUGUGAAUUUUGAAUGCAACUUUGGAGGGUCAAUAGUUUUAUAAUUUAUUGGGUCCCAAGGGAAGUAAUAGUUGGAAAUUAAAUUCGAAUUUUGAUCUCGUCUAAUACCUUCUUGUAUUUUGAAGUGCUCAAGAAACUUCGAACUUAAUUUCCCUCUUGAAAUAAAAUUUUAAGAAAACUUGCUAUUUAAGAUGUGUGAAUAUAUAAUUUUGCAAGUUUAUUGAUAAAUGUGAAGUGAAUGUUGGAAAUACUUUCGUGUUGAUCGUCUUUUCCCUGAUAGAUCUGUAAGCUCAAACAGGUAGAGUGCUCAAUUUCAUCUGUAAGUUGAGAGGUUGAUGGUUCGAAUCCAUCCAGAUCUGGUGUUCGUUGUCUUUUUUCAACAGGCAGAGCUCUCAAUUUCAUCUCUUAAGUUUCCAGAUCUGGUCUUAAAUUACCUAAGUUAGCCGUUAUUAACCCAUUCCGAACCAAAAGGGUGUGGUCCCUCGAUCCAAAGUUCUGUAAAGACUUUCCAGGCUGACCUGGGACUUUGUAGAAUGUAAUUUUUUCCUUUUUUAUUGUUCAAGAUCUCCAGGAGGAGAUACCUUACUUUGGGUAUUGUUAUUUCAGUCCUAAUUUUGAAAAGUUGUUGUCAGUGUGCUUUUAGAAAAAUUAGAAUCCAUUGGAUUUAAUUUCAUUUUACAUAUUUUACUUGUUAAAAAAAGGAUUAUAUCUCCUGUAAAUUUAGGUUUUAAUUUGAACCUUUGUAAUUUUCUUUGUAUCUUUGUCGAUAGUAAAUAUUCGUCAAUCAAUCACUUCUAUAUUUUGAAAUAUAAUAAACCUACCUAUAUUAGAUUUUAAAAUUGAUAAAUUUGAGCCUACUUAAAUUUAAAACUGGAAUUAAAAUUUGAGAAUUGGUUGGAUUAAAUCUGAAAUUAAAAGUGAGGAAAUUAAUUAUAUUAUAGCCAUAGUUUAAUUACGUAAAACAUUAUCAGAAGUCAAAAGAUGAAAAAUCCUGUUCAAAUCUACGAAAAUAAAAAAAGAAAAAGAAACGACAAUAUUUAAAACGCUUUUAAUCUUCAUUCGGAAUAUAAUAUCUCCAAAUACCGUGUCCAAGUUGUGUUUCCUUUGCUUGUGAAUAAAUCAAUGGCCGUGAAGUCACGACGAAUCUGCCCCCUAAAAUAGGUCAAAAAUACCGUCGCAUUUAUUCCUUAUGUUUUGCGAUAAUAAUUCAUCCACGUUGCUCUUUCUCAGCCGUUGAUAUUCUCCAACAACUUUUCAUCUUAGCCGUCCAUCCCGUCCCUUCUCUCUAUAAAAGGAUAAGAUCUCCUCUUCCUUCUUCCAUCGGCGGAUCCCAUUAGGGUUUCCUAUUUAUUUCUCCUUGUUUUUCGAUUGCGACCGUAGAUCGGCGGUGAUCUUGUCCCUCCUCUGUUGAAGGAGGCGUCAGAAUGGAUCUGUGGAUUUCUUAAGCCGAUUAUCGUUCCGCUGGUUUUCGUAUUUGUCGAUCUAAGGGUGGAGUCUGGCGGAUGAUUCAAGGUACUAACGAAAUGAUGCCUCUGAUCUCAGAUCUACUCCAUUCUGAUCUCCUUCUGGAGCCGUUGACGCUUUUGAUCGGCGGCUGUAUGAUAUCUAUCCAAUCAAGAGCUUGUUCAUCGUCCUUGACGAAGCGAUUCACGAGUCUGAUGUAUGAGAAGUGUACUCAUAUUCGAUGGUAGCUGUAACUCUGUUUUAUUGUGAGCAUCGGGAAGGAUUAGAUUAGUAUGGCUCUGGAUGUUUAAGGUAUCAGGACGUAAGGCUUUCCUCUUUGUGGAGGAUGAAUCUCUAUGUGUCUUUGUCAUCCGACCUUUGCCAUGACAGGUGCGCUUGCAUGGCAGGUCAUCGAAAAAAAAUAAAAUAGUAUCGUUUUGGUUUUGAGGAAGAAACCGCACGGGGUUUGCCCGGGGUUUCUUCCUCGCUGGUGUGUGUUCUCUUCUCGUUCUCUCUUACUCUCAGUUCGUACCUACAUCUUCAACCGCCCAUCAACUGCUUCUCGGAAUUACCUGAAUUCACGCCGUUUACGCCAAGGUAUUUUCUGAUGAAUUUCUUGCAUAUUGACCCAACCAUAAGAAGGAAGAAAAAAUCACCAUCACCAUACCUGCAUCACUACUUAAAUCUGCUAAUUUACUUUCGUACUCACAUUUUUUUAUAAUUUGCGAAUAUAAUUUUAUACAUACAUCUGCAUCAAAAUGUUGCGAAUAUAAUUUUGUACAUACAUCUGCAUCAAAACUUAAUUAAUCUGCUAAUUUAAUUUCAUAGAGACGUCUGUACCUAUAUUUGAAUAGCCUGCUAAUAUAUUUUCGUAUAUACAAUGAACAAGUCUAGGUCUGGUUUUUUAAAUGAUCCAUAACUUAUAGCAUCAAUUGUGACUAACUCGUCAAAAUUUGAGGCUUGGUUCGAAAAAAAUUGUUUUCAAAGAUUCAUAUCAUUUAUUACGUUCUUUUAUACAUUCAACAUAUUUGACAAUGCUACACAAGUACAAAAUUAUCUUUCUAAUAACUUUUAUACUGUCCAAUUAAAUGGACUUUUGCGGUUACAAAUAUUUUCCAUCACAAUUUGAUACGUAACGUUUUUCUAUGGAAAGUUGUGUUUUCGGGUGACGAUUGCAUAUGAUAUUGUGCCAUCCAAAGUUUAGAAGUCAAUAAAAAAGAGGUUAUUAAAUUCAGUACGAGGCUAUUCAAAAUCAAUAACGUAAGUGUGUUCUAUAUUCCAAUCUGUGUGUGUUCGGGAGUGGCGCUCAUUCGCGACAACCUACAUGACCGCAUAAUACUUCUAUCCAUUAUCUCUCUUGAUUUAGAGCUUGCGAUUUGUGUUGAUCUACUUAUUGUUUAGCUGCUUACUGUUAAAUUAUGUUCGGAAUCUUUUUCUUGUCUAGUAUUGGUUUAAUAAGAACAUAUUGCUCUUGUAAAGUUUUGGUACUUUCGAGCUUCCCGUUGAGUGAAUAUUUUGUAAGGUUUUUCAGUAUUGAAGUAUGUGCGUACGUCGGAACUUAUGUAUGUCUG